UAUGUACUCCCUCCGUUCCAAAAUACUUGACUUCCAUUUGUCCAAAAAUGGAUGUACCUAUAUACUAAAACAUGUCUAGAUACAUAUAUAUUUUGACAAAGAGAAGGCAUGUAUUGUGCAACGGAGGGAGUAGAAU
rnacentral:pre_miRNA from 1 species